ensembl:lncRNA
GAAAUCUUGCCUUCAACUCAUCUUACCAAACAAACUGGAGAAAAGUUAAUUGCUCAGCACAAUUUGCUUAUUUAGAGCUGGACCUUGAACCCAGUCCUCUGCUUUGAAAACUUGAGACUUUCAGGAUUACCUUAAAAUCUUUGAUGAUGCAGUGGUAAGACACCUGUCCCAUCAGCCCCAGUUCCAGAGCAGACCUUCUGUGCCACUGCAUACUGGAAAAGAAGGGAAAAAGAAUGAAAAUUUACUAAGAAGCAAACACACACCAGGAAAUUAUAGAGUUAAAAGCUUGAAAAUGCUCCCACAAAAUUUGAGUUGUGUAUGCAAGUGGAACUUUGAGAGGAGAGGUCUGCUGGGUAAGAGAUCAGAAGAUCCACCUCUGGGAGGAGAAAGAGACCAACCAAUGCUUCCUUUGAUGGGUCCUUUUGCUGCACUUGCAGAGGAUAUCGAGUUAGAAGAAGGGCACCAGGAAUUCUGUGCGGUGAUAAUCAGUUCGUUGGCUGGGCAGGCACACAUGCCAAAUUAUACACCAGGCAGACAUUGGGAC